GAUGAAGAACGUAGCGAAAUGCGAUAAGUAAUGUGAAUUGCAGAAUUCAGUGAAUCAUCGAAUCUUUGAACGCACAUUGCGCCCGCUAGUAUUCUGGCGGGCAUGCCUGUCCGAGCGUCAUUUCAACCCUCGGGAGCCCCUUUGCGGGGGCUGCCGGUGUUGGGGAUCGCCCGCCGCCAUGGUGGACGUCCCCUAAAACGAUUGGCGGUCUCGCUGUAGCCUCCUCUGCGCAGUAGCACUUGUUCUCGCAGGCGGAGCGCGGCGCGGCCAAGCCGUUAAACCCCCAACUUUUUUACUAGGUUGACCUCGGAUCAGGUAGGAAUACCCGCUGAACUUAAGCAUAUCAAUAAGCGGAAGA
rnacentral:misc_RNA from 1 species